rnacentral:lncRNA from 1 species
UGAAGUACACAAGUUUAUGCCUCAAGUUUCUAAUUCAAAAUAACUUGUGAUAAGCUAUGAAUCAUUGGGCAUAAUGAAAAUGCUGUUUGCAUGAUAUAUAUUUAUAUGCAGCAUACUAGAUUAAUUCUUUAUUCUGCUCUUUCAUGUAACUACUUGAAAAAUAACAAAAAGAGAGAGAGAUAAAGAAAAAAAAAAUGAACAUUGCUCAGAAGAAGUAAAAGCUAAGUAAAUACUCCAAUCUUAAGUAAAAGCAGCGCAAGCAUAAUAUAUUCAGCAUAUUUGUGAGACUUGUGUGAACAUUCUUUUGAAAGGGAUAAAAUCCGUAAUUAAUUAUAUUUAAAUAGGGAGAGUUUGGAGUAAAUAUCUUGUUGCUAAAGAGAACAGUUUAACAUUUCUACAUUGCUCAUUAUAGGGAUGGUGCCAAUGGGGAGGCUAGUGGUAGUACCCGGCACUAUUUGACCCAACUAUUCGGUGUAGGGCAUAUUAGGGACGGCACAAGAGGGAGGCUAGUGGUAGUACCUCGUGCCCCUUCCAACUCCACCGGAUAGGAAGCAAAUAGAAUAUAGAGCAUAGAAAAGUAAAACCGAAAAAUAAAUGAAGAUAAUCAAAAUGCUCAUUGAAUGGUUAAAGAAAGAAAUUAAAAAUUUGA